GACGUAGGGCGCGAGCGUUGUCCGGAUUUAUUGGGCGUAAAGAGCUCGUAGGCGGCUCAUUGCGUCAACCGUGAAAUCCUGCUGCACAACGGCAGGUCUGCGGUUGAUACGGGUGGGCUGGAGUUCGGUAGGGGAGACUGGAAUUCCUGGUGUAGCGGUGAAAUGCGCAGAUAUCAGGAGGAACACCGGUGGCGAAGGCGGGUCUCUGGGCCGAUACUGACGCUGAGGAGCGAAAGCGUGGGGAGCGAACAGG
rnacentral:rRNA from 1 species